rnacentral:rRNA from 1 species
UACGUAGGGUGCAAGCGUUAAUCGGAAUUACUGGGCGUAAAGCGUGCGCAGGCGGUUGUGCAAGACAGAUGUGAAAUCCCCGGGCUUAACCUGGGAACUGCAUUUGUGACUGCACGGCUAGAGUGUGUCAGAGGGGGGUGGAAUUCCACGUGUAGCAGUGAAAUGCGUAGAUAUGUGGAGGAAUACCGAUGGCGAAGGCAGCCCCCUGGGAUAACACUGACGCUCAUGCACGAAAGCGUGGGGAGCAAACAGG